AAGAGAUCGGGAUAACACCUGGAAACAGAUGCUAAUACCGGAUAACAACAGAUGAUGCCUAUCAACUGUUUAAAAGAUGGUUCUGCUAUCACUCUUGGGAUGGACCUGCGGUGCAUUAGCUAGUUGGUAGGGGUAACGGGCCUACCAAGGCGAUGAUGCAUAGCCGAGUUGAGAGACUGAUCGGCCACAUUGGGACUGAGACACGGCCCAAACUCCUACGGGAGGCAGCAGUAGGGAAUCUUCCACAAUGGACGCAAGUCUGAUGGAGCAACGCCGCGUGAGUGAAGAAGGUUUUCGGAUCGUAAAGCUCUGUUGUUGGUGAAGAAGGAUAGAGGUAGUAACUGGCCUUUAUUUGACGGUAAUCAACCAGAAAGUCACGGCUAACUACGUGCCAGCAGCCGCGGUAAAU
rnacentral:rRNA from 1 species